AAACCCUAGCUUCUUCUCUAUAAAUACACCCCUCCCUUCCCCUCUUCCAUAGCUUCACAUGCCUCCUUUGGGGGAUCAUCUCCUAAGCCUCCCUCUCCCUCUUGAUCAACUCCUUCUCCACACACCAACAAGCUUCUAUCUCUUCUCUUUCUUCCAUCUAAAAAUCUUGUUGCCAGUUUGCCUUUCAAAACACCUCUACCAUCUUCUCUUCUCCCUUCACCUAUCCAAACAUCAGCAAGAGAUUCAGAUCUAAAGUUUAGAGGAUCCACAG
rnacentral:lncRNA from 1 species